AUCAAAAACAUGUCCUUUUGAUAAUGAUUUAAGGUCUGGUCUGCUCAAUGAUAUUAUUAAAUAGCUGCAGAAUUUUAACUGUACUAAGGUAGCAUAAUAAAUUGUUUAUUAAUUGUAAACUGGAAUAAAUGAUUUAAUAAAAUAUUAACUGUUUCUAAGAAAUUGAAUAUAAUUUAAUUUUUAAGUUAAAAAGCUUAAAUGUAUUUAGGGGACGAGAAGACCCUAUAGAUUUUUAUAUAAAUAAUUGACUGAGGAGUUUAUUUAUUAUUUUUGUUAGUUAUUUAUAAUUAGAUGGGGUGUUUUAAAAAUAAAUAAAUUUUUUAAAUUAUUUACAAAAUUUAUUGAGUAUAGUGAAUAAUAAUUAAUUUUAUAAGAUAAAAAUACCUUAGGGAUAACAGCAUAAUAGCUUUUUUAAGAUCAUAUUUUAAAAGUUGAUUGUGACCUCGAUGUUG
rnacentral:rRNA from 1 species